AUUUUAAUAGCUUAUAUAGAGCAUAAUAUUGAAGAUAUUAAUGAGAAUUAUUUCUUAAAAUA
rnacentral:tRNA from 1 species